rnacentral:lncRNA from 1 species
UCAACUUUAUUUAUAACUAAUAUAGGACAAUGCUGUUGAUAAAACAAAUACUCCAUCCCAGGACUUUUCAUUUUCCAAAUAAUUAAUAUUACCAAUAAUUGAUUAGUUCCAGUUAGACGGGUUCAAACAGAAAGAUUUGAAAGCAGAGAAAACUGUGAUAGCUAUAUCUUAUAAUCGGCAUGACUUUAUCAGAUGACAAUACUAAUACAAAAAUAAGUCUUGCGCAUAGUUAUAUACUUUAAUUCAGUCACGGACCCAUGAUAUCACGGGUGUGUUCUAGUAUAUAUAUAAAAUGAGGAAAUAGAUAUAUAAAUUAAGGUGAAAGAUAUAUAAAGUGAGAUGAUAAAGUGAGAUGAUAGAUAUACAAAUUGUGGUGACAGAUACACAGUGUGGUGCUAUAUGUAUAAAGUGAGGUGAUAGAGAUAUAAAAUGUAGUGGUAGAUGUACAGUGUGGUGAUAGAUAUAUUAAAUAAGGUGAUAUAAAAUGAGGUGGUAUAUUAAUAAAAUGAGGUCUUACUUAUAUAGACUGAGAUGAUAGAUAUACAAAGUAUGGUGACAUAUAUACAGGGUGGUGAUAGAUAUACAAAGUGUUGUGACAUAUGAUCAGUUAGGUGAUAGAUGUAUAAGGUGUUAUGAUAGAUAUAUAAAGUGUGAUGAUAGAUAUAUAAAGUGUGAUGAUAGAUAUAUAAAGUGUGGUGAUAGAUACAUAAAGUGUUGUGACAUAUGAUGAGUUAGGUGAUAGAUGUAUAUAGUGUGGUGUGGUGAUAGAUAUAUACAGUGUGUUGAUAGAUAUAUAAAGUAAGGUGAUUAAUGAUAGAGUGAUACUAGAUUAUGCCACUGUCCCAGAUUAGGGGAGGGUUGGGAUCCCGCUCACAUGUUUAACACCGCCACAUUAUAUAUGUAUGUGCCUGUCCCAAGUCAGGAGCCUGUAAUUCAGUGGUUGUUGUUUGUUUAUGUGUUACAUAUUUGUUUUUCUUUUAUUUUUUUCUAACAUGAAUAAGACCAUUAGUUUUCUCGUUUAAAUUGUCUUAUCGGGGACUUUUAUAGCUGACUAUGGGGUAUCGGGUUUGCUCAUUGUUGAAGGACGUAUGGUGACCUAUAGUUGUUAAUGUUUGUGUCAUUUUGGUCUUUUUGUUGGUAGUUGUCAGUUGUCUCAUUGGCAAUCAUACCACAUCUUCUUUUUUAAAUAUAGAGUGUGAUGAUUGAUGAUACAGAGUGGUGAUAGAUAUAUACAGAGAGGUGAAAACUGAUACAGAGUGAUAAUAGAUAUAUACAAUGUUGUGAUUGAUGAUACAGAGUGGUGAAGGAUGAUACACAGUGGUGAUACAUAUAAACAAUAUGGUGACUGAUGAUACAGAGUGGUGAUAGAUACAUACAGAGAGGUGAUAGCUAUAUACAGUGUGGUAAUUGGUGAUACAGAGUGGGGAUAGAUGUCUAGUGUGGUGAUACAUAUAAACAAUAUGGUGACUGAUGAUACAGAGUGGUGAAAGAUAUAUACACUAUGACGAUUGAUGAUACAGAGUGGUGAUAGAUACAUACAGAGAGGUGAUAGCUAUAUACAGUAUGGUAAUUGGUGAUAACGAGUUGGGAUAGAUGUCUAGUGUGGUGAUACUGAUAGAGAUAAACAAUAUGGUGACUGAUGAUACAGAGUGGUGAAAGAUAUAUACACUAUGACAAUUGAUGAUACAGAGUGGUGAUAGAUAUAUACAGUAAGGUGAUUAAUUAUACAGAGUGGUGAUAGAUAUGUAGAGUGUGGUCAUAGAUAUCUAUUCCUCAAUUUGGUGUCCUACAGAUACAGUCCUACAUAUAUCGCUAGGCUGUAUUUAUAUACUAUACAGAUAUCAGUCAUGUGGUGUGCUUUAAUAUGUUCUGUUUGUUUUUCAAAUAUCUCUAUAUAGCAAUAAGAAUCCCACCCAUUUUCUGAAAAGAUACACACACAAACACCAGUCUUUUCUACGAUGACAAUAAUAGUUUUCAAAAUUGAAAUGUGUAUGAUUGUGCAACAUAAUCAACCAUACUGAAAAACAAAUAGUUACAAUGAUAGGUGCCGAACUGAAUCACUUUUAGUUUUCAGCAAACAUACACAGAUUGCUG